rnacentral:misc_RNA from 1 species
GAACAAGGUCUCCGUUGGUGAACCAGCGGAGGGAUCAUUACUGAGUACUACACUCUCUACCCUUUGUGAACUAUUAUACCUGUUGCUUCGGCGGCGCCCGCGAGGGUGCCCGCCGGUCUCAUCAGAAUCUCUGUUUUCGAACCCGACGAUACUUCUGAGUGUUCUUAGCGAACUGUCAAAACUUUUAACAACGGAUCUCUUGGCUCCAGCAUCGAUGAAGAACGCAGCGAAACGCGAUAUGUAAUGUGAAUUGCAGAAUUCAGUGAAUCAUCGAAUCUUUGAACGCACAUGGCGCCUUCCAGUAUCCUGGGAGGCAUGCCUGUCCGAGCGUCGUUUCAACCCUCGAGCCCCCGUGGCCCGGCGUUGGGGAUCUGCCACGGCAGGCCCCUAAAACCAGUGGCGGACCCGAAGGCCCUCUCCUUUGCGCAGUAGCAUCAGCCUCGCAUUGGGAUCCCUCGGCGUCCUGCCUCUAAACCCCCCACAAGUCCGCUCCGGCGGCACCAAGGUUGACCUCGGAUCAGGUAGGAAUACCCGCUGAACUUAAGC